CUUUUACUACUACGUCUUGAACGG
rnacentral:snRNA from 1 species